rnacentral:rRNA from 1 species
CAGCCGCCGCGGGAAUACAGAGGGUGCAAGCGUUAAUCGGAAUUACUGGGCGUAAAGCGCGCGUAGGUGGUUUGUUAAGUUGGAUGUGAAAUCCCCGGGCUCAACCUGGGAACUGCAUCCAAAACUGGCAAGCUAGAGUAUGGUAGAGGGUGGUGGAAUUUCCUGUGUAGCGGUGAAAUGCGUAGAUAUAGGAAGGAACACCAGUGGCGAAGGCGACCACCUGGACUGAUACUGACACUGAGGUGCGAAAGCGUGGGGAGCAAACAGGAUUAGAUACCCCGGUAGUCCCUGUCUCUUAUAU